rnacentral:misc_RNA from 1 species
CAGUCCACCUUUCGAGAAUCGACGAGACGAUUGACGACGGCAGCGACGAAUCAGCGAAAAGCAUGAAUUUUUGAAUUCUUUCAAUCAAAUUUGACUGUGCUUGCCAGACAAGACAAUUUACUACACAUUCGAAUAGUGUCAAAGAUCUGACACUAGAACGAGACAAUCAUGCAUCGUGCGAGGGUAAUUUUUCAAGUCACAAACAAAGUUGGCAGCAACGACAGGUUCGCCUCAUGGCUUCUGAACAGACCCCAGACAACUGCUGUGCCAGUAACUAACUUCAGGCAUACCAGUUCGGCGGCCGCAGAGCCCUUCCUCAAUGGCUCCAGCUCGGCGUACGUCGAGACUAUGUACAACACAUGGCUCGCUGACUCCAGUUCUGUUCACGCGUCAUGGGAUGCAUUCUUCCGCAAUGCGACGAAUGGCGCCCAACCCGGGUCGGCGUACACCGCGCCGCCCAACUUGGCGCCAUACAACAAGAAUGAAGUCCCUCUCACGUCACUCGUACCCUCCGGCGCUGGCAUGCCAUCUAUCGCUGCAGGAUCACCAAUCAAUGAGAAGAUCAUCGAUGACCAUCUGGCCGUGCAGGCUAUCAUCAGAAGUUACCAGUCUCGUGGUCACCUAGUGGCGCAGUUAGACCCGCUGGGCAUCGCCACCGGGGACCCCACGUCCAGUGGCGAAUGGCACGGCGGCUUGCGAGCCUUCGCAAACGAGGCCGUCAUUAGACAACACGUCAGAUUCGAUGAAGCUGAUAUGGACAGAGUGUUCAAAUUACCAUCAACGACUUUCAUUGGCGAAAAAGAGAAAGCGUUACCGUUGAGAGAGAUCCUGAACCGCCUCGAACAGGCGUACUGCAACAACAUCGGUAUCGAGUUCAUGUUCAUCAACUCUCUGGAACAAUGCAACUGGAUCAGGCAACGCAUCGAGCCCCCCAAUGUUGGCAAGAUGAGCAAUGACCAGAAGAGGUUGAUCCUCGCACGUCUUACCAGAUCCGCUGGAUUCGAGAACUUCCUGGCGAAGAAAUGGUCGUCAGAGAAGCGUUUCGGUCUGGAGGGCUGCGAGAUCCUGAUCCCGGCCAUGAAGCAGGUCAUCGAUGUCUCCACUCGCCUCGGUGUCGAGUCCAUCAUCAUGGGCAUGCCCCAUAGAGGUCGUCUGAAUGUGGUAGCUAACGUCUGCCGCAAGCCUCUUCACCAGCUGUUCACGCAGUUCGCCGCCCUCGAAGCCGAAGAUGACGGCUCCGGUGACGUGAAAUACCAUUUAGGUACAUACAUCGAGCGUCUUAACCGUGUGACAAACAAGAACAUUCGUCUGGCUGUCUGCGCCAACCCGUCUCACUUGGAGGCUGUAGACGCUAUCGUGCAGGGCAAGACCCGCGCUGAACAGUUCUACCGCGGUGAUAAUGAGGGCAAGAAGGUCAUGUCCCUCCUCCUCCACGGUGACGCAGCGUUCGCCGGGCAGGGCGUGGUGUUCGAGACCAUGCACUUGUCGGACCUGCCCGCCUACACCACGCACGGCACCAUACACAUCGUCGUCAACAACCAGAUCGGCUUCACCACCGACCCCAGGCAUUCCCGCUCUUCUGCUUACUGUACCGAUGUUGCCCGCGUCGUAAACGCCCCGAUCUUCCACGUGAACGGCGACAACCCCGAGGCCGUGAUGCACGUGUGCAACGUGGCGGCCGAGUGGCGAGCCACCUUCCACAAGGACGUCGUCAUCGACAUCGUCAGCUACCGCCGCAACGGACACAACGAGAUCGACGAGCCCAUGUUCACGCAGCCCCUUAUGUACCAGAAGAUUCAUAAGACUAAGCCCGUACUCGAGAAGUACGCCGAUCAACUGAUCAGCGAGGGAGUAGUCACCGCCGAGGAAGUGAAAGACGUGAAAGACAAAUAUGAGAAGAUUUGCGAAGACGCAUACACCCAAGCCAAGCAGGAGACCCACAUUAAGUUCAAGGACUGGCUCGACUCGCCCUGGUCUGGCUUCUUUGAGGGCAAGGACCCCCUCAAGAUGUCCCCAACCGGCGUAGUAGAAGAGACUCUAGUGCACAUUGGCAAACGUUUCUCGUCGCCUCCUCCCAACGCGGCGGAGUUCGAGAUCCACAAGGGUCUGCUGCGUAUCCUGAAGGCUCGCAUGGCGAUGGUGGAGAACAGACAGGUGGACUGGGCGCUGGGAGAGGCCAUGGCCUUCGGCUCCCUGCUCAAGGAAGGCAUCCACGUCAGGCUGUCCGGAGAGGACGUCGAGCGAGGCACCUUCUCACACAGGCACCACGUGCUGCAUCACCAGAAGGUGGACAAGGCGACGUACUGCUCGCUGUGCCACCUGUACCCCGACCAGGCGCCCUACACCGUCUGCAACAGCUCGCUCUCCGAGUACGGUGUCCUCGGCUUCGAAGUAGGCUACUCAGUAACAAACCCGAACGCUCUCGUCCUGUGGGAGGCGCAGUUCGGAGACUUCAACAACUGCGCCCAGUGCAUCAUCGACCAGUUCAUCUCCAGCGGCCAGUCCAAGUGGGUGCGGCAGUCCGGCCUCGUGCUGCUGCUGCCGCACGGCAUGGAGGGCAUGGUGAGUACAGCAGCGACCAGCUCAUCUCCAGCGGCCAGUCCAAGUGUAGCGGCAGUCCGGCCUCGUGCUGCUGCUGCCGCACGGCAUGGAGGGCAUGGGUCCCGAGCACUCGUCGGCCCGGCCUGAGAGGUUCCUGCAGAUGUGCGCCGAUGACCCCGACUACAUGCCACCAGAGAGUCCCGACUAUGAAGUCCGUCAACUCCACGACUGCAACUGGAUCGUGGCGAACUGCUCGACUCCCGCGUCGUACUUCCACAUCCUGCGGCGACAGAUCGCGCUGCCCUUCCGCAAGCCGCUCAUCCUCAUGACGCCCAAGUCGCUGCUGCGUCAC